rnacentral:lncRNA from 1 species
GCCUAUAUGCUCUUCUAUUUCAUCACGUUGUCUACUGUACAGCAUAGAAUUAGCGUAUAAAGAGAUGGAAGAAAACGAGAGGCAACACAGCAGUGUUGCCGACAGCAAAAUCUAGGAUCCGUUGGCUUGAGUGGUUUGGUAUUGGUGUGGGACUUCACUUUGCAAUUUGCAGACAUGAAAAUGGUGACAGUGUGUGAGUGGUGAGGAAUACCACACGUUCCAUGGCCGAUAAUACAGAAAUAAAUCAAUCCACCCUUCCAUUCCUUUUUAAAAUUCCCCUCUUUUUUACAGCUGCGGUGGAUGUUGUUGAUUCCCAUUAUUAGCGAAUGAGGUAUCGGUAAUGUUGGUAAAGGUUAAAGCCUUAAAUUUAAAGUGAAUCUUACGUGUGAAUUUUCAGUUUAGAUUUUAUGCUGGUUUAAGUUUUACCAUGUAUAAAUUAAAUAUAUGUAAUAGUUUAACUAUGGUCAAAACUAUAUAGAUAUAUUGAUUAUAAUCGUUAUUCUAUUUGUAGUUAUAAUGAUUACUUGUAACCCAAAUUUUUAAUUGAGUUUUGAACAAAGUUAAACUGACUUGAUUUAUAAAUUAUAGAAAAAUGAGAUUAAAUUGGUUAAUUGAAUCAAUUGAUCAAUACAAGUGGGAUCAAUUCAAUAAUAUAUGGUUCCGGUUUUUGCUAAUUUGUGUUUGAAUAUUGUAUUAUGAUGUGUUCAAAUUGGACCGAUUAUUUGUUUAAACCAUUUAUAUUUGCUACGGGUUGUUAUCAUUUCCAUGGAGUUGUCUCUUCCUCGAAUUAACGCUUCUGUCAUGUAAAUGUUAUUAGUACAAUUAUUACUGUUC